CGGCGUCGAGCGGCGGACGGGUGAGUAAUGCCUAGGAAAUUGCCCUGAUGUGGGGGAUAACCAUUGGAAACGAUGGCUAAUACCGCAUAAUACCUUCGGGUCAAAGAGGGGGACCUUCGGGCCUCUCGCGUCAGGAUAUGCCUAGGUGGGAUUAGCUAGUUGGUGAGGUAAUGGCUCACCAAGGCGACGAUCCCUAGCUGGUCUGAGAGGAUGAUCAGCCACACUGGAACUGAGACACGGUCCAGACUCCUACGGGAGGCAGCAGUGGGGAAUAUUGCACAAUGGGCGCAAGCCUGAUGCAGCCAUGCCGCGUGUGUGAAGAAGGCCUUCGGGUUGUAAAGCACUUUCAGUCGUGAGGAAGGUAGUGUAGUUAAUAGCUGCAUUAUUUGACGUUAGCGACAGAAGAAGCACCGGCUAACUCCGUGCCAGCAGCCGCGGUAAUACGGAGGGUGCGAGCGUUAAUCGGAAUUACUGGGCGUAAAGCGCAUGCAGGUGGUUUGUUAAGUCAGAUGUGAAAGCCCGGGGCUCAACCUCGGAAUAGCAUUUGAAACUGGCAGACUAGAGUACUGUAGAGGGGGGUAGAAUUUCAGGUGUAGCGGUGAAAUGCGUAGAGAUCUGAAGGAAUACCGGUGGCGAAGGCGGCCCCCUGGACAGAUACUGACACUCAGAUGCGAAAGCGUGGGGAGCAAACAGGAUUAGAUACCCUGGUAGUCCACGCCGUAAACGAUGUCUACUUGGAGGUUGUGGCCUUGAGCCGUGGCUUUCGGAGCUAACGCGUUAAGUAGACCGCCUGGGGGAGUACGGUCGCAAGAUUAAAACUCAAAUGAAUUGACGGGGGCCCGCACAAGCGGUGGAGCAUGUGGUUUAAUUCGAUGCAACGCGAAGAACCUUACCUACUCUUGACAUCCAGAGAACUUUCCAGAGAUGGAUUGGUGCCUUCGGGAACUCUGAGACAGGUGCUGCAUGGCUGUCGUCACCUCCUGUUGUGAAAUGUUGGGUUAAUUCCC
rnacentral:rRNA from 1 species